AGUCAACAUGCCCAGGGGACGUGGAUAACCUCGGGAAACUGAGGAUAAACCGCGAUAGGUCAUCACUUCUGGAAUGGGUAAUGACUUAAACCUAUAUGGCCCCUGGAUUGGACUGCGGCCGAUCAGGCUGUUGGUGAGGUAAUGGCCCACCAAACCUGUAACCGGUACGGGCUCUGAGGGGAGGAGCCCGGAGAUGGGCACUGAGACAAGGGCCCAGGCCCUAUGGGGCGCAGCAGGCGCGAAACCUCUGCAAUAGGCGAAAGCUUGACAGGGUUACUCUGAGUGAUUUCCGUUAAGGAGAUCUUUUGGCACCUCUAAAAAUGGUGCAGAAUAAGGGGUGGGCAAGUCUGGUGUCAGCCGCCGCGGUAAUACCAGCACCCCGAGUGGUCGGGACGUUUAUUGGGCCUAAAGCAUCCGUAGCCGGUUCUACAAGUCUUCCGUUAAAUCCACCUGCUUAACAGAUGGGCUGCGGAAGAUACUAUAGAGCUAGGAGGCGGGAGAGGCAAGCGGUACUCGAUGGGUAGGGGUAAAAUCCGUUGAUCCAUUGAAGACCACCAGUGGCGAAGGCGGCUUGCCAGAACGCGCUCGACGGUGAGGGAUGAAAGCUGGGGGAGCAAACCGGAUUAGAUACCCGGGUAGUCCCAGCUGUAAACGAUGCAGACUCGGUGAUGAGUUGGC
rnacentral:rRNA from 1 species